rnacentral:rRNA from 1 species
UACGUAGGUCCCGAGCGUUGUCCGGAUUUAUUGGGCGUAAAGCGAGCGCAGGUGGUUUAUUAAGUCUGGUGUAAAAGGCAGUGGCUCAACCAUUGUAUGCAUUGGAAACUGGUAGACUUGAGUGCAGGAGAGGAGAGUGGAAUUCCAUGUGUAGCGGUGAAAUGCGUAGACAUAUGGAGGAACACCGGUGGCGAAAGCGGCUCUCUGGCCUGUAACUGGCACUGAGGCUCGAAAGCGUGGGGAACAAACAGG